ACCCUGCUCUGUGUCUAGAAGAGAGCUGAACACGCAGUAGGUAAUGUUUGCAAAAUUUGAUUGAUUGAGGGUUUGGGGGGUUUCAUUUGGGCCAUCUGCAGGUGGGCUGGGUAGCAGAAGAAGGCCUCCCAUGGUUUGCUUCUAUGUAUCUGGGUAGAGGAGUUGGAAAAGACGGUGGGAGAGUGCAGGUCUGGGAGCUCACACAGCUUUGGCACUGCCUGUUUUUUUUUUCGUUUUGUUUUUGUUUAAUGCUACAAUAAUAAAUAUUUCACAAAUUAGGAAUGGUGAAGGGCAUGACAAAAAAAGAAAACGUUUUGAUUUCUUGGUAUGUCAGGGUUCAGGGGUAAAUUUUUCUUUCCAUAAAAUGUCUGGUCAUGUUGCUUGUUAUAAUUUUUUUUUUUUUUUUGGUAACAAAUAAUUUCCUUUUAAGUUGGAGGAAAAAAGAGAAUGUCUUACUUUUGCCUAUGUCUCUAAAUGGUGACCAUAUUUUCAAAGCUCCAAACCAGGACACAGAGCCUGAUACACAGCCUUACAGGACAUUUGAAAUGGGGGGCUGCCAGGACAGAGUAUUUGGAGUGGAGGUAUCUGGCCUCCUAGCUGCUGUGCCCAAUGCCUUAGGAGUAACAUCAUUUCUAAAUUACAGAUGCAGUGAGGCCAAUUUGGAUAUCCAGUGGGGAAACCUGGGGACCAUAUAUGUUCUAAAUUGAUAUCUGCCUAUCUAUCUAACUAUCUAUCUAUCUAUCUAUCUAUCUAUCUACCAUCUAUCUAUAUUUUUCUAUUUAUUGCCAGAAAGUCAAGAGCAGCCUUCCCAGAGGACAAGACAACAACAAAACCUACAGAAAUUCUCUCUAGGGUCUCAGUACAUGCAAGAUCUGGCUCUUUGCUGCCUGUGUGGCUGCCCAAUCCCAGCCUCAGCAAUGUCUGAAUGAAGGGUUUGUGGGCAUCUGCAUGAUGCAAGCCAUGAGCUGGGGAGCCGCACAGUAUGGGUUCUGUCUUCUGGCUGGCUGAAAAGGCUUCUCAGGCUCUGAAAGUACCAAUUCUUCAGGCAUGAGUGCUGGUGGAGGAUUAUCUUUUAAAUCAGCUGGUUCUUAUUUUCUUAAGUGUGAAAGAAGGAGGGUGGUCAGGAGUGUGUUUGCGUAUGUGUGUGUGUGACAGGCCAACAUUAGUAUAGUAUCUGCCAUGUGCUGAGAACUUUAUGCAAAUCUUGUAUAUAAUUGCCAUCUAUCUAUAGAUAUGUAUAGAUAUAUAUAUAGAUGUAUAUAGAUAUUUGUGGAUGUAGGUAUAUCUAGAGAUAGAUAGCA
rnacentral:lncRNA from 1 species